GAUGAACGCUGACAGCAUGCUUAACACAUCAGCAAUUGAUUGGUGGCGGACGGGUGAGUAACGCGUAAAGAACUUGCCUCACAGCUAGGGACAACAUUAGGAAACGAAUGCUAAUACCAAAUACUGUGAGAGAGCUUUGCGUCCCAGUAGCUAUUUGGAGAGGUAACGGAGCACCAAGGCGAGGAUGGGUAGCCGGCCGGGGAGGGUGAUCGGCCACAAGGGGACUGGGACACGGCCCUGACUCCUACGGGCGGCAGCAGUGGGGACUAUAGAACAAUGGACCAAAGUCUGAUCCAGCAAUUCUGUGUGCACGAUGAAGUUUUCGGAAUGUAAAGUGCUUUCAGUUGGGAAGCGGUACCAACAGAAGAAGUGACGGCUAAAUACGUGCCAGCAGCCGCGGUAAUUC
rnacentral:rRNA from 1 species